rnacentral:rRNA from 1 species
CGGCUAACUACGUGCCAGCAGCCGCGGUAAUACGUAGGAUCCGAGCGUUAUCCGGAUUUAUUGGGUUUAAAGGGAGCGUAGGCGGACGCUUAAGUCAGUUGUGAAAGUUUGCGGCUCAACCGUAAAAUUGCAGUUGAUACUGGGUGUCUUGAGUACAGUAGAGGCAGGCGGAAUUCGUGGUGUAGCGGUGAAAUGCUUAGAUAUCACGAAGAACUCCGAUUGCGAAGGCAGCCUGCUAAGCUGCAACUGACAUUGAGGCUCGAAAGUGUGGGUAUCAAACAGGAUUAGAUACCCUGGUAGUCCACACGGUAAACGAUGAAUACUCGCUGUUUGCGAUAUACGGCAAGCGGCCAAGCGAAAGCGUUAAGUAUUCCACCUGGGGAGUACGCCGGCAACGGUGAAACUCAAAGGAAUUGACGGGGGCCCGCACAAGCGGAGGAACAUGUGGUUUAAUUCGAUGAUACGCGAGGAACCUUACCCGGGCUUAAAUUGCACUCGAAUGAUCCGGAAACGGUUCAGCUAGCAAUAGCGAGUGUGAAGGUGCUGCAUGGUUGUCGUCAGCUCGCGCCGUGAGGUGUCGGCUUAAGUGCCAUAACGAGCGCAACCCUUGUUGUCAGUUACUAACAGGUGAUGCUGAGGACUCUGACAAGACUGCCAUCGUAAGAUGUGAGGAAGGUGGGGAUGACGUCAAAUCAGCACGGCCCUUACGUCCGGGGCUACACACGUGUUACAAUGGGGGGUACAGAAGGCAGCUACCUGGCGACAGGAUGCUAAUCCCAAAAACCUCUCUCAGUUCGGACUGGAGUCUGCAACCCGACUCCACGAAGCUGGAUUCGCUAGUAAUCGCGCAUCAGCCACGGCGCGGUGAAUACGUUCCCGGGCCUUGCACUCACCGCCCGUCAAG